rnacentral:rRNA from 1 species
AACGAACGCUGGCGGCAGGCCUAACACAUGCAAGUCGAACGCCCCGCAAGGGGAGUGGCAGACGGGUGAGUAACGCGUGGGAACGUACCCUUUACUACGGAAUAACUCAGGGAAACUUGUGCUAAUACCGUAUGUGCCCUUCGGGGGAAAGAUUUAUCGGUAAAGGAUCGGCCCGCGUUGGAUUAGCUAGUUGGUGGGGUAAAGGCCUACCAAGGCGACGAUCCAUAGCUGGUCUGAGAGGAUGAUCAGCCACAUUGGGACUGAGACACGGCCCAAACUCCUACGGGAGGCAGCAGUGGGGAAUAUUGGACAAUGGGCGCAAGCCUGAUCCAGCCAUGCCGCGUGAGUGAUGAAGGCCCUAGGGUUGUAAAGCUCUUACACCGGUGAAGAUAAUGACGGUAACCGGAGAAGAAGCCCCGGCUAACUUCGUGCCAGCCGCCGCCGUAAGAC